AUUGCCUCAGUAACGGCGAGUGAAGCGGCAACAGCUCAAAUUUGAAAUCUGGCCUCCGGGGUCCGAGUUGUAAUUUGUAGAGGAUGUUUUGGGUACCGCCCCGGUUUAAAUUUCUUGGAACAGAAUGUCAGAGAGGGUGAGAAUCCCGUCUUGGACCGGUGGUAGGGCCUGUGUAAAACUCCUUCGACGAGUCGAGUUGUUUGGGAAUGCAGCUCAAAAUGGGUGGUAAAUUUCAUCUAAAGCUAAAUAUUGGCCAGAGACCGAUAGCGCACAAGUAGAGUGAUCGAAAGAUGAAAAGAACUUUGAAAAGAGAGUUAAACAGUAUGUGAAAUUGUUGAAAGGGAAGCGCUUGCAACCAGACUUGAGCGCGACGGUUCCCCUAGCCUUUUGGCUAGGUUACUCCGUCGUGUCCAGGCCAACAUCGGUUCUGAGGGUCGGUCAAAGGCUCUGGGAAUGUAUCUACCCACGGGUAGACUUAUAGACCAGGGUGUCAUGCGACCUCUCGGGACCGAGGAACGCGCUUCGGCUCGGAUGUUGGCGUAAUGGUUGUCAGCGACCCGUCUUGAAACACGGACCAAGGAGUCUAACAUCUAUGCGAGUGUUUGGGUGUCAAACCCGGAACGCGAAAUGAAAGUGAACGGAGGUAGGAAGCUUCGGCUGCACUAUCGACCGAUCCUGAAGUUUACGGAUGGAUUUGAGUAAGAGCAUAGCUGUUGGGACCCGAAAGAUGGUGAACUAUGCCUGAAUAGGGUGAAGCCAGAGGAAACUCUGGUGGAGGCUCGCAGCGGUUCUGACGUGCAAAUCGAUCGUCAAAUUUGGGUAUAGGGGCGAAAGACUAAUCGAACCAUUAAGCCACUCGGUGGUUAAGUGUGACCCGAAAGGGCUCGCAAGUGCCGGAUUCUGGCGCGACACUGUCAAAUUGCGGGGACUCCCUAAAGCUCCAUGGGACCGCCCGCUCCACGAAAGUGGAGUUUUUAAGGGCACCAGGUUAACGACCUCGGGUACGGUAACACUCCUGGAGAUGCAACAAUGGGUAAUCUGCAGCCAAGUCCUACGGGCGAUCGCCUACGGAUGCAGUUCACAGACUAGAUGGCAGUGGGCUCCCCCCUUCUCGCGGGAGCUUAAGAUAUAGUCGGUCCUCUGGGGAGACCCAGGCGCAUCGCUAAACUGGAGGUGAAGAAUUCUGCCCCCGGGCAGUCACCCCCAGCCGGAACGGUGCGGGCGCCCUCGGGCGUCGGAG
rnacentral:rRNA from 1 species